GUCCUUUUGAUUUUUAUAUAAGGUCUGACCUGCCCUAUGAAUAUUUAAAUGGCCGCGGUAUACUAACCGUGCAAAGGUAGCAUAGUCAUUUGUCUCUUAAUUGGAGGCUUGAAUGAAGGGUUGGACGAGAUAUAAGCUUUCUUUGUUAUAUUUUAUUGAAUUUGACUUUUGAGUUAAAAGGCUUAAAUUUUUUUAUAGGACGAGAAGACCCUAUAGAAUUUUAUAUAUUUGUAUAAUCGGUUUAUUUAUUUAUUAUUUAAUUUUUUGUUUAAAUAUAUUUUGUUGGGGCGAUGGGAAGAUUUUAAUAACUCUUUUUUGUUCUAAUCAUUGAUUUAUGUUUUAUUCUGAUCCUUUUUUAGAGAUUAUAAGAUUAAAUUACCUUAGGGAUAACAGCGUAAUUCUUUUGGAGAGUUCUUAUCGAUAAAAGAGUUUGCGA
rnacentral:rRNA from 1 species